rnacentral:rRNA from 1 species
UACGUAGGGUGCGAGCGUUAAUCGGAAUUACUGGGCGUAAAGCGUGUGUAGGCGGAUGGGUAAGUACCUUGUGGAAAUCCCCACGGCUCAACCGUGGAACUGCUCGGUAUACUGCUCGUCUUUGAGCCAACUAGGGGCGACCGGAACAAACGGUGGAGCGGUGAAAUGCGCAGAUAUCAGGAGGAACACCAGUGGCGAAGGCGAUCUCUGGGCCGUAACCUGACGCUGAGGAGCGAAAGCAUGGGGAGCGAAC